CUGUGAAGAUGCUACAUGCUAUAGUAAUGUGCCUUUUCUUCUUACGAACAGUUUCACAUUUCAACGCAAUAACACCUAACUGAGCCCAGCAAAGAAUAAUAAUGAAGAACAGCAACACUGCGAUGACAAUACUUUGGAUAAAGUCGAACUGUCGUUCCAUGUGAGUUCUAAGUUUCAUCUUUGUUUCUCCUUCUCUGUUUAAUUCUGUUACUUCACAGCUGUAAUUUCCAUCCGGUGCUUCUGCAUUUUUAAGUCGUAGCGAGGCAAUACCCUUAAAUAAAUCCGCCUUAGAAAGGAAGUUAGCUGAUGGAACUGACUCGUGCCUGUAAAUGCGCUGUUCUGGUCCAUUAAAAGAAAAAAUUACUUGUCCUUGCCUCUUCCACGAAACAUGCAUGCUGCUGUCAUUGUUCUCCUUCAGGUUAGUCACGAUGCAAGGUAAAACAACUGUAUCGUUACAGGCAUAUUUCUCAACAAAAUCUACUGCGUUAAACACCAGCUGGGUGGAACCUGCGCCCAGGACGGCGAGGAGCGCUCCGACGGUCAGCAACCACAUGGCGGAGCGCCAGCGGGCAACGCGGCCGGCUACCGACCGACCUCCACAGCCGCCGCCGCAGCGGGAUAACCGGG
rnacentral:lncRNA from 1 species